rnacentral:rRNA from 1 species
AUUGAACGCUGGCGGCAGGCUUAACACAUGCAAGUCGAGCGGAGAUGAGGUGCUUGCACCUUAUCUUAGCGGCGGACGGGUGUGUAAUGCUUAGGAAUCUGCCUAUUAGUGGGGGACAACAUUCCGAAAGGAAUGCUAAUACCGCAUACGCCCUACGGGGUAAAGCAGGGGAUCUUCGGACCUUGCGCUAAUAGAUGAGCCUAAGUCGGAUUAGCUAGUUGGUGGGGUAAAGGCCUACCAAGGCGACGAUCUGUAGCGGGUCUGAGAGGAUGAUCCGCCACACUGGGACUGGGACACGGCCCAGACUCCUACGGGAGGCAGCAGUGGGGAAUAUUGGACAAUGGGCGGAAGCCUGAUCCAGCCAUGCCGCGUGUGUGAAGAAGGCCUUUUGGUUGUAAAGCACUUUAAGCGAGGAGGAGGCUACCUGGAUUAAUACUCUAGGAUAGUGGACGUUACUCGCAGAAUAAGCACCGGCUAACUCUGUGCCAGCCGCCGCCGUAACAC